GGGAAUUCAAAGUUCACCCAAACGCGUCUGUAUAACGUACCUUGUUCAGCUCCUGCUCAUAGACUCGUCCUCCGCCUGUCUGUGUGGUCCCGGAGGGUCGUGGAAGGAAGUUUCCAAAAUUGAGGUGUGUAUCAGAAAAAAAAAAAAAGAGGGGAAAGCAUCAGAAAAGCAAGGCUUAUCUGAAAAUAAAAUUGUUUUGGGGUGAGCCAAAAGCCAAGGCCUGAUGUUCAAUGAAAUACUCAAAGAGCUUAAUACAGUGCUCUAUACUGCAGCACCAUUCUGUGCAUGAGGAUGCGGGUUGAAAAAGAAGGAAGAAUGAGAGGACCAGUCGUCACAAGCUCCUGUGUCCAAGUCUUCCCAGCCAUGAUGGGGAUACCCUCGGACGGUGAACCAAGAUAAAUAAACCCCUUCUUUCCUGACGUCCUCCUAUCAGGGUGUUUCAUCACAGCAAUGUGACAAUAAAUCCCAAGCCACUCUCAAUAAAUCACUCUCAUGCCACAUCUUCUAAUGGAAGAGUCUACCCUUCUUAAGAAUAACCUCUUUUGUUAUUUCAGUUUCCCAUAUCAUUUUUCUUCCUUUGCUUUCCUGCUCAAAAUUAAUCUGUGUCAUCUCUUCUACUGCCUGUCGGCUGCU
ensembl:processed_transcript Has2os hyaluronan synthase 2, opposite strand